rnacentral:rRNA from 1 species
AGUGAACGCUGGCGGUAGGCCUAACACAUGCAAGUCGAACGGCAGCACAGUAAGAGCUUGCUCUUACGGGUGGCGAGUGGCGGACGGGUGAGGAAUACAUCGGAAUCUACUUUUUCGUGGGGGAUAACGUAGGGAAACUUACGCUAAUACCGCAUACGACCUACGGGUGAAAGCAGGGGAUCUUCGGACCCUGCGCGAUUGAAUGAGCCGAUGUCGGAUUAGCUGGUUGGCGGGGUAAAGGCCCACCAAGGCGACGAUCCGUAGCUGGUCUGAGAGGAUGAUCAGCCACACUGGAACUGAGACACGGUCCAGACUCCUACGGGAGGCAGCAGUGGGGAAUAUUGGACAAUGGGCGCAAGCCUGAUCCAGCCAUACCGCGUGGGUGAAGAAGGCCUUCGGGUUGUAAAGCCCUUUUGUUGGGAAAGAAAAGCAGCAGGUUAAUACCCCGCUGUUCUGACGGUACCCAAAGAAUAAGCACCGGCUAACUUCGUG